rnacentral:rRNA from 1 species
UAUGAAGUUGGAAUCGCUAGUAAUCGCGGAUCAGCAUGCCGCGGUGAAUACGUUCCCGGGCCUUGUACACACCGCCCGUCACACCAUGAGAGUCGGGAACACCCGAAGUCCGUAGUCUAACUUUCACGAGAGGACGCGGCCGAAGGUGGGUUCGAUAAUUGGGGUGAAGUCGUAACAAGGUAUC